rnacentral:tRNA from 1 species
GGCUGAAUAGCUCAUUGGUAAGAGCAGUCGCCUGGCAAGCGAAAGACUCGGGUUCGAUUCCCGAUUCAGCGA